rfam:Myotis davidii contig61782, whole genome shotgun sequence.
AGUUUCAGUUUUGCAAGAUAAAAAUUUCUGGAGAUUUUAGUGGCUAUGCUUAUGGGAUAGAUUAAGAUUGCCAUGAUCUGAAGAGGGAGGAUUUAUUUGUGUCCUCCUCCUAUAUGAAAUGGCUGAACAGAAAAAA